rnacentral:rRNA from 1 species
GAUCGCCAAGCUUUUACCCCACAAAAUGAAAUGGAGUGUAUUCUAUUUGAUGAAAGCGCAGAACCAAAGGCCAGUGGUUUCUCUGUUUACAAAGACAUUGGUUGCGGUGGCUUUGCAAGGGUUUAUAAGGGAAUACUUGACAAUGGCACGGUUGCUGUGAAGAAGCUUUUCGAAAUGGUUGAUAUUGAUGACAAGAGAUUCAGGGAAGAGGUUCAUUGUUUGAUGAAGGCAAAGCACCAAAAUAUAGUACGGUUAUUAGGAUAUUGCUCUAACACACAAGGGGAAAUGAUAGAUCACGAGGGAGAGCUUGUCUUGGCAGAUGUCCGACAAGGAUACUCUGCUUUGAAUAUCUACCUCAAGGGAGUCUUGAUAAGCAAAUCACCGGUAGGAUCCUGU